UGACAUGGCGUCCCCAUCGAGAAAUAUUGAACCCACUUUUCAGCUGUGGAACUGGUCGACACAGAAACCCUUGAUUGUCAUAAAAACAGCAACACAAGUUCAAAUGGAACUGGUGAUCGACAAACCAUGGACGCUGAAGAAAGGCUCCUCGACGCCAAGCUGUCAUCCGGAAGAUUGAAGAUGAAGAUUGCCGUGUCGAGCAGUCAUGACCAUUUUUUUGCUGAUCCCCCCCCAGUUUUUGAAAAGAUUCAGAAUACAAAAUCACUCUUAGAAGUAGACGGUAUGGUAAACAAACCAAAGUUAACACCUUUCAGUUAGUAAAA